UACGUAGGGUGCGAGCGUUGUCCGGAAUUAUUGGGCGUAAAGAGCUCGUAGGCGGUGUGUCACGUCGGCCGUGAAAACCUGCAGCUUAACUGUGGGCGUGCGGUCGAUACGGGCAUCACUGGAGUUCGGCAGGGGAGACUGGAAUUCCUGGUGUAGCGGUGAAAUGCGCAGAUAUCAGGAGGAACACCGGUGGCGAAGGCGGGUCUCUGGGCUGAAACUGACGCUCAUGCACGAAAGCGUGGGGAGCAAGCAGG
rnacentral:rRNA from 1 species